UGCCAGCAGCCGCGGUAAUACGUAGGGUGCGAGCGUUAAUCGGAAUUACUGGGCGUAAAGCGUGCGCAGGCGGUUAUAUAAGACAGAUGUGAAAUCCCCGGGCUCAACCUGGGAACUGCAUUUGUGACUGUAUAGCUAGAGUACGGCAGAGGGGGAUGGAAUUCCGCGUGUAGCAGUGAAAUGCGUAGAUAUGCGGAGGAACACCGAUGGCGAAGGCAAUCCCCUGGGCCUGUACUGACGCUCAUGCACGAAAGCGUGGGGAGCAAACAGGAUUAGAUACCCUGGUAGUCC
rnacentral:rRNA from 1 species